UCCAUCUGUGUCAUCCUCUUUUUUCAAUCACCAUAAACUGUCUCCAUCGUGUCAUCCACAUAACUGNUCCUGACCCUUUAUCCUCUCUAUCCUCUAACCAUGACCUUAUACUCUCUAUCCUCUAACCAUGACCCUUUAUCCUCUAACCAUGACCCUUUAUACUCUCUAUCCUCUAACCAUGACACUUUAUCCUCUAACAAUGACCCUUUAUCCUCUCUAUCCUCUAACCAUGACCCUUUAUCCUCUCUAUCCUCUAACCAUGACACUUUAUCCUCUAACCAUGACCCUUUAUCCUCUCUUUCCUCUAACCAUGAGCCUUUAUCCUCUCUUUCCUCUAACCAUGACACUUUAUCCUCUAGCAAACUAUGACCUAACCCCAGCCUAUCAAUUAUCUUUACAUAUCCCAACACAUCUGGCCUACACACUAGAGGUCGACCAAUUAAUCGGCUAUUCCGUUUUCAGCCGAUUACAUUGCACUCCACGAGGAGACUGUGUGGCAGGCUGA
rnacentral:lncRNA from 1 species